AACUCAUGACUUUCCAUAUUCCUCAUGAUCCAUGGGUUUUAACCUCCAUGGAGUAUCCAUGGGUUACCCUAUGGGUUUAGCCCAACAUGAAGAACUAUGGAUCAUAAGCCCAAAUAUAUAAGAAUGAAUGAUUUACAUAAUCAAUCCCCAUAUAUUUAUUUAGUCUCUUUUGAUAAGAGAAUUAAUUCCAAAUUAAUUAUUGAUCAAUACUAAUUAAAUAAUAUGAUUUCAUAUUAAUAUAUUAGAACUUAUAAUAUAUUAAUAAAUCAUAAAUAUCCUUUUCUCACAAAAGUCUAUCCAAAUUGUUCCGAUACCAUGCAACCCAAAUGGACCAUGCCGAAUCGGGUAAAGUACAUACCAAUUAUAGUUAUGGACUUAGACACUGAUUUAACAAGUCUCCCACUUGGAUAAGUAUAAUAACUAUUAUUGCAAGUAUGACUCUGCAACCUGACUAGCAAUCGUAGCUCUUAAAAGCCGAUGUCGAACUCUGAACAAAUCAAUGACGCAUCCAUUAGAUAAGGGGUCAUAUAUUCCUCCAUUAUUGAUAUCAUAUUGACUGAGACAUGGAUUAUAAUCAUUCUCUGUGUCCAUAUUUUGUUUCCUGAUUUCUGAUUUAGGACGACUAACUAAUUGAACAAAUCAAAUCAGUCCAAGCUUGGCCAAGCACUUAGGGGUGUCAUUACUAAAUUAUCGAGGGGUCCAAAGAUAUUGUUUUUAUCCCUCCAAGGGUAAAAGGAAUGGAUAAACUUCGACCCAAAUGUUCACUUAUACUUACUCAUCAAAUUACACACAACGAUAUGUUUUAUAACAACCAAGUUACUGGUUGCGUUUACAUAUGUCAAUGUGCAAUUGACGCACAACUCCAGCUCACGCGUCUCUGUUUGAAGAAUAUAAGAUAUUAUCGUCUUAUGAUCACUCGUGAUAAAAUCCAUGAAGUGAUUCAAAUGAGCGUGGGUUUAAUCCAAUACUCGAAUCUUAUUUCAGGAGCACUCGUGAAUGUUGCAGCAACUUUUGCUAUGCCUAAACACUUUAGACAUCUACAAGCCCAAUUCAUGACUAUCUUGAUUCAUACCUACUUCCAAAGUAUGAUUGACUAUGGAGAUUUUGAAUAACCUGGUUAUCCGGGAAGUCAAAACAUGCAAAGUGAAACACAAGAAUAAUCUAAUUCAGUAUGGUCUUAGAACUUAUGAAUAUAAAUAAAACACCUUUUAUUUAUCACCAUAUUGAUUACACAUUAUUCAUUGCAUAAUGUUUGGAUUUAUCAACUUAACACUUGAAUUGAAACCAAUAGUUGUGCUAUGCUCCAAGCAUGCACACUAUGUUUUCUAAACAAUAGUUAUGCCAUACUCCAAGUAUGCACACUAUGUUUGUCUAUGAUCCUUACUUUGUGAAAUAGAUCAAUUAAACAUUGUUCCAAUGAUGCUCAUUUCACAAACCCAAAUCCUUACCGUAAAUGUAGGAAUAUCAAAUUAUUGUUAUUUAAUGUAAUCUGUUAGAUUCUAAAUUUGCAUUGAUCCUCUUGUCAUGACUAUGCACAAAGUCACAAAGACUUGUCAUCAGACAUUACAGAGUAUUCCAAUGGAUAUCAAUUCCAUAGAAAUGAAGUCUCAAAUUCAAAGUACAUUCCUGUGAACAUCUUUCUUGCAUUAAGUUUCCUAAUCUUACACAUAUUGAAUAACUUCCACCUAUGGAGACAUUUCCAUAUUCCCAUUUUGACUAUUACUUCUGAACAAGAGUUGCCUCUUUUCAAAAUAUGUCAAUAUGGUCCUUCCAAAAAUUUACACCAUCCUUCAAACUGUCCAUGAGAAACUAAUAUAUGGUAAACCUCAGAUUGUCCUUGACAAUCGCUUAAUCAUUUUAGUCAUAUCCAGUUCUAGACCUUUUCCCCUUUUAAUGCCCUAGGCAUUUGGAAAAUUUAGAAAGGACAAAUAUUAUAGCACAUGCCACAUGUAAUCGAUCCUAUACCCGAAGCAUAUGGGACACGAUUCAUGAUGUCUCACAUAAGGACAUGAUCCUAGACCAGUCUUUUGCUACAAUAUUUUUUAUUUGCCAUGUUUUCAUAAUUCGACUAUAAAGAGGGAUGUCAUAAUCAUAAUCGAAUUUUGAGAACGCAAUAUAUAUGUNCGUAGUCAUAAUUGAAUUUUGAGAACGCAAUAUAUAUAGAAUUUCCUUAAGUCGAACCAUUCAGACAUAAAAUUCAUAUAUAUAUCCUUGACUAAAGACGAUUAAAAUCUCAAUCUAAAUCUUAAUCUAAGCUUUUAGAAUUGAAAUGAACUAUAAUUUCCUCUCCCUUAAUUAUAGCAAAACAACUUUUCAAAUCUUGCAGAGUCACAACUAAAACUUUUGUUUUCUAUAAUUAACACUUAACAUAAUAAUCAUGCUCCCACUAAUAUGAUAAGUAUGCUCCCGCUAGCUUUGGCAUGUAUCCAGAAAUCAGCUGGACUUCUAGAAAUCAAUACUUUAUUGACUUUUUUACCAAAGUUCAUAUUUCUGAUACGAGAUGCUUUGAUAAGACUUUAUCAAAAUCAUACACCUUUCCUUAGAUAGCUCACAUGUGUGUCUAACAAUUUUAGAACUAUGAAAAGGGAUGUCGUAAUCAUACUCUCAAAUGUUUAGACCUUUGCCAUUUCUCACAAGUCCAUGUUAGUGUGUCAGUUAACCACACACGCUCCACUAAUGACUUUGAGAAUGAAAAUAUCACAAUUGCUAUCUACUUAAAAUCUACUUAGUGAAAGCGUUUCCUCACCAUCAUUUUCAUGAAUCGGAGAGAAACCUUAUGACACUUAGAUUUUAUGGUAUAUGCGUUCCUAUCCAUGUGAAUUUGUCAAAACCAUAAUCACAAGACAAGGUUAGUGACAAAUUCAAACUCAUAUGGACUAAACUUGUUUAAUCUUAAUUUCUUGCCACCUGGCAACACAAGGGCCUACCGUUGCAUCCAGGUUGUUAUGCAACCUAUUGAGAACUCGCAGAACUCACAUGCAUAGUCAACUUUAACUGGAAUAGACAUAGAAACAAGAAUUAUGUUAGCACGAUUGGUUAUAAACCUCAAGUCGUGUGCUAGUGAUAAACUACAGGUUUUAUUCUUGAUUAGUUCUUGAAACUCUUUUAGGAUCUUUUAAGACUCCCACUGUCCUCUUGACAUAUAAGACUCUCUUUCCAAGAACCAUUCCUUGACAAACACAUAUUCAAGAGAUAAUGUGGAUUAUUAUGAAGACAAACACUUCACACAAUUGGCCUUAGUUGGUCUUUAAGAUAUGUCACUCAAGUUAUCUUUGAGUAUGAUUCUAAGAAUUGUUUUGGAAUGAAGUAUGACUCAUCUUCUGGAUUUAACCGUUUCAACAAUUCAUGAUUCCUCUUCUUAGCCAUAGGAAUGCACUAAGAUGUCCUUAGAGGAUCAAUUGUAAUGUGGUUUCUUAAUCAUUAAGAUGGUCAUAAAACAUGAUACUAAAGUACUCUCCCAUCUUUUCAGAUUUGAGAAACUUUUUAUCUUUCUGCCUAAUUUGAUUCUUCUCAUUCGUUCUGCCAUACAUUGAAACUUUUCCAAUGUUUUAGAAUUGUACUUAAAUUUGUAAGUAUAACCAUAUAUACUAAACUUUAGUAAAUCAUGACGAAUAGUCUUAUCAAUCUUUGUGGUUGACUUGACCAGUGCACAAGAAUGUAUACUCGAUCCCUUAGUCCUUCACUUGACUCACAUAUACAUGUGAACAAGGAAUUAGUCUUAAUUUUCCAAAGAUGAAAGGUUCUCAUUCAUCAUACAAUACCAGUUGCAUGAUUCCAAGUUUCUAUCCAACUGAAGCUUGGGUGAUGAGAAUCCUUUCUUAUUUGGUAAAUUAUGAUACUACCACGAAGGAAUCAAAUUCAUUCUCCAACAUUGCUAUUAAUGGAAUCAUAUAAACAACAAUUUUUCAUAAAUGCCAUUGUAAGGAAACUUAAAAUAAAUAAAAACAAAAAAUUUUCUUUUAUUUUAAAACUUGCGGAAAAAACUUAUCCUUACAAGGUAUUUACAAAUGAAAAACAUGUUGUUAUCUAUUCCUAAGCAAUUUAUCAUAACUCUUAAGUAGCAACUCAAAUUCUGAUCUUCGAACCAUGCAAUCGAAAUUCAUCUUCAUGAUCAGAGUCAGCUUACUCUUCUUUUGAGCUUCCUCUCUUUUCCUUUGAUUCUACAAAACAUAAAAAUGUGACCUAGUCACAUCAUGUAAUAAGAAUCUCUAAAUAGGAACUUAAUAGAGUUAGAUAGUGGACUUUACCCAAAGUAGAGUUAACCUUUUGACUUUACCAUCCUUAUGAUCUUUUCAGGUAAAUGGGGCAGCUUCACAACCAAUGCCCCUUCUUUUGGCAAAAGAAACAUAUGGACUCUUUAGGAACGGUACAUGGGACUAUCUCAGACUUAGGCUUUCUCUUUACCUUUUGGUUAACCGGGUUGACUAUGGCCGAUCCCUUUCCAUUGGGAAGAGAAAGCUUUUCUGGAUUUCCAAUGUUACCAUUGUCAAUGUCCAUGGAAGUUUGGGAAGUCGAUCUUCCAAUAAAAUUUGCUUUACCAGUACUCCAAAUUAUUGUUGAUUCAGCAUCAUCAAGCAAAUAGGUAAGAUCAUUAAGGGUCAUGUCAUGGUCUGUCAUAUAGUAAUCCCAAAGGAACUCACUAUGUGACUUAGGAAGUGAUUGAAGAACCUAGUCAACAACCAACUUCCUCAAGACUUUGACACCCAACUCUCACAGCCAGUCUAUACAUAUGACUUCAUCUCCAAGAUGUGAGCACACACAAACUUUGCUUGCCAAUAGGGCUUAAGUGACCUUGAACAUGUGGGUUAGGGAGAAUAAUUGGAGGAGGUGGAGGAAGAGCAGUAUGAUUGCCAUGAUCCAAUCGCGGGACAUCAUCUUCAUUAGGAAAGCUUGUUCCAAGAGAUUUGGGAAGAUCAUAGUUGUCUGAUCUAGACAUCUACAAUGGGAGAAAUUCAAGUUAGUUGAGUUAAGUCCUUAAUAUAACACCCAAUCUGAAAUACAAAGGCUAGGACGCAACACAAUAUUUUAUAACUUGGAAGAGGGAUGUUAUAAUCCAAGCUAUAAAAUAUUUGAAGGUAGCCGAGUGACGAUUUACCAAUUUCCACCGUGAAAAACGAAAUAGGUAUUAGGUUUUUAUUGGAUUGAAACUCCUAGAUCUUUUGAGAUUCAUUGAACUUUUCAAUGGCAUGUUUAAAUCUCAAUUGUGCACUCUUAAGUUUGUGAGUGGGAUGCCGAGGAUCACAAACAAGGUGUGAAUGACCAUGAAAAUUAACUUGGUACCCUUAAUUUGAUCACCUAAUUGAUGUGCCGGUUACCCACACACGCUCCACCGAUCUAUGAUAAACAUUAAGUCACCCUUUGCCACUCUUACUAGUCCAUGUUAGUGUGCCGGUUACCUACACACGCUCCACCAACGACUUGGUAAGGUACAAAGUGUAAUUUCAUGGGUUAACACCAAUUUCACAUUUUCCUAAUGUAACUAAGAUUGGGAAUUUAUAAAAGGUUUAGUUACUUUAUAUUUAUCAUUAUACUUUUAAUGAGAAUUAUAGUCCUUGUCCUACCCGUUCAGCUAACGACCCUCCACCAGUCAAGGAAGUGGUAGGUGAGAGUGGACACCCAUUAAGCUGUAAUUUUAUAGGCAACAACCUUAUACCCCUUAUAGACCGGCUUCGUGAAUGAGGCCUACUAACGGUAAGACUGACUUACUCUUAUACAUAUAUAUAUAUAUAUANNNNNNNNNNNNNNNNNNNNNNNNNNNNNNNNUAUAUAUAUAUAUAUAUAUAUAUUAAACCUAUAAUAUUAUAAUAGUAUAAGGGUUGGAUUUUAAACUAUUUAAAAUUCUAGGGUUCGAAACUAAAGUAUACAUGGGGGGUAGCUUUACAAAUUCCAAAACUUGAGGGCAAGUUUUGAACAAUUCAAAAAAAAAAACAUUUGAAAUCCAUAGCAUAUGAGUUUAAUAUGGCUUUUAAUGACAAGACUCAUGAAAAUUCAUAACUUGAGGACAAGUUAUGGAUGUCAUAAAACAAUUUAUGGAAAAAGACUCUUCAAGUUUAUAUAACCUAUGGCUUUAAAACCUCUUUUAAAUAAAAAAUUUUGGUUUUCCAUAACUUGAGGACAAGUUAUGGAAUCCAUUAAAGACCAUUUAGAUCAUCUAAUAAAUAAACAAACAUGUUAAGAAAAACUAUGAUCUAGAAUAAACUCAUAUAAACAAGACAAUUCAAAUCAAACAAUUUUCUUGUACUUAGCCUAACCAUUAAACUAAUACAAAACAUAAAUCUAUUGACAAUUAUCUUUUGAAUUGGAUUAGAAUGAUCAUUACCACAUGAAAAACAGGUUUAUAAGUUCAAAAACAACUUAGGGUAAUGAUUCUAGUCCCAUUCCAGCCUUAAAAGUCGAAAAUCUGCACUCUGGGCCUCCUACUCGUCGAGUGUAUGAACCUACUCGACGAGUAGGAUGAUUUUGUUCAUGGACUCGACGAGUCCCCCUGUGGAUUCGGCGAGUCCAGAUUUGGCGAGUCCAUAGUCCAGACAGCCAGAAAAUCGAUUUUUUCAGCAAUUUGCAUCAAGUAUAAGUGAAAACAAGUCUUGGCUUUGAUACCACUAUUGAGUUUUGAGAAAUCUAACACUCCUAUGGUGUACAUGCAACCCUAUAAACCUUGGAUCUAUGUUUUCUCUAUUAUACAUGCAAAUAUUCAAUAUUCCAAGGUUUCAUCCUAACUAGUAUAAUAUAAAGUAUAUAUAAUACAAGAAUCUAGCAGAAUGACAUACCUCUUUGUUGUAUCUUGAUUCCAUGGAGCUUAAGAGCUUAGUGCCCCAAGUGUGACACCUCAAAUGGCUCACACAACACCACCAACAACUUGGAAUAACUUGAGAGAAAAGUUCUUAUGCUCAAAAUCGGCUAGCCCUCUCAUUUGAAUCCUUAGGUCCGAUUUCUUGAGCUAUGGGGUCUUUAUAUAUUGUGGCUAUUAGGGUUACACCAUGUAACUCGUGACUUUCCAUAUUCCUCAUGAUCCAUGGGUUUUAACCUCCAUGGAGUAUCCAUGGUUUACCCCAUGGGUUUAGCCCAACAUGAAGAACUAUGGAUCAUAAGCCCACAUAUAUAAGAAUGAAUGAUUUACAUAAUCAAUCCCCAUAUAUUUAGUAAGUCUCUUUUGAUCACAGAAUUAAAUCCAAAUUAAUUCUUGAUCAAUACUUAUUAAAUAAUAU
rnacentral:lncRNA from 1 species